GGUGGGCGCCAGGGCCUGAGCAGCGUGGACAGGGGGUCCGGCCAUGGCCCUCUGCAGCGCCUCCUGCCGGGUAGGGCCUGUGUGUGGAAGGGGGCUGGCCCUGUGAACCCCAGGGGUGUGACCCGGUGACCUUUGCUCCCAGAAUACCUCACCAGAGUCCAACUGUCAGCGGAUCUCCUGGCGACCCUGCCUGAGCCAGCCUCCCCGGGGCGCCAGGCCUGCGGCAGGAGGCACAAGAAGAGGACGUUCCUGCGGCCACGUAUCAUCGGCGGCUCCUCCUCGCUGCCCGGCUCGCACCCCUGGCUGGCCGCCAUCUACAUCGGGGACGGCUUCUGCGCCGGGAGCCUGGUCCACACCUGCUGGGUGGUGUCGGCCGCCCACUGCUUCUCCCACAGCCCCCCCAGGGACAGUGUCUCCGUGGUGCUGGGCCAGCACUUCUUCAACCGCACAACGGACGUGACGCAGACCUUUGGCAUCGAGAAGUACAUCCCGUACACCCUGUACUCGGUGUUCAACCCCAGCGACCACGACCUCGUCCUGAUCCGGCUGAAGAAGAAAGGGGACCGCUGUGCCACACGCUCGCAGUUCGUGCAGCCCAUCUGCCUGCCCGAGCCCGGCAGCACCUUCCCUGCAGGACACAAGUGCCAGAUUGCGGGCUGGGGCCACUUGGACGAGAACGUGAGCGGCUACUCCAGCUCCCUGCGGGAGGCCCUGGUCCCCCUGGUCGCCGACCACAAGUGCAG
rnacentral:sRNA from 1 species